rnacentral:lncRNA from 1 species
CGGACUAAAAGUUAGGCUGAGUUAAAAUAUUAACAUAGACAAUCAAUGGACUCUAUUGAAUAAAUAUUUUUGACACCUAAUUUUGAUGUACCAAAACUUUUGUUUGUCAGAGGUGUAAUAUAAAGACUUUAAAGUGAAUAAAAGAGCUUUACUGUUGGGGUGAGAAACUCCUUAUUGGAAUGCUGAAUUUCUUCUUUUUUCCAGAGAAUACACAUUGGCAAGUUGAGAGUUAUCAGCCUGUGAAACAGUAUGCAGAUUCAUGUCUUCUACUGUAUCACAUCUGCUAAAAUGUUAAUUUUUAAUAUUAAUUGUUUUUGUCUUCUUUUGCUUAAUCUAAUAGCUCUGUGUUUGUGUGUUCCCAAGUGAUAUAAUGAUCAACAAUGCUUUCAGUGUUUAUCUGCUUAAAUUCAUUUGUGGUACAAAUAGCGCCACCUCCCCUUCUUUCUUAGGAAGACUCCCUCCUCCCCCGGCUCUUAAAACCUGAAUUUCUUACUCUCGUCUACAUACUCUUUUAUGAGACUGUCUUCUGUGUCGUUUUUGGCUUUUUGGACUUUGUAGCACGUGGUUUCCUUGGAUUAAAGAGGAGUUAUUUUAAAGCAAUAAAAGUGUUUUUCCUCAAGAUGGGGAAAACAGCAUUUCUUGUAAAAUGUGAUUAGGAAUUCAGUAGGAUGGGUUUUUAUCAUCUUUUCCCAUGAAUCUGGGAUUCCCAGAAGCCCAAGUUCUGUUUUAGACGAGAUUUGUACUGAAGAUCUUUGUGAGUUUUGCUUGAUUCAGGCACUGCCUUUUGGAUCAGAGUCCAUUUAAAAUAUGAAAAUUGUACUUACAAAUGUACAUAGAAAUUUUGUUAUAUGUAAAUAUAUGUUCAGUGGCUUGCAAGUAGAUUUCCUUAGAGGCAUU